UGCACGUUCUCGUUAUCCUCAUAACUAGCCUUAAGCUUAACUACGUUUGGAUGCUCAGGUAAAGUAGACAUAAUCGCUACCUCACGACGAACGUCUUCGAUAUCGACAGCUGUUCGAAGCUUUCGCUUUGAAAUCGAUUUGCAAGCUAAAGCUUCGUGGGUUUCACGAUCAGUACAGAGGUAAGUGAUUCCGAAUUCGCCUCGACCUAAUUCACGACCUAAGAUGUAUUUGUCGCUGAUCUGAGUUUGAUUGCUCAUAGGGAUUACAUCUUUGAGAACACGUAUUGGAGCUGGGGAUCUGGUGAAAUCUCCGGCGAAUGGGUUUAAUUUCCGAUCUCGAUUGGGUUUUUUCGGCUUUGAAGAUGGUUUUGAUUCUUUUGAGUCUGGCCUUACACAGGCGUUACAGUUACCCAUGGCUGAGUUAAGAAACUCAGCAAACUCAGAGAAAGGAGAUCAAGGAAGAAGAAGAAGAAGGAUUAUAGAAGAAAAAAGCUUAUCUCUUUAGUUCAUAUGGACGCCGGAAGUGACGGUGGCGGUGAUUUUCCGGCGAAUUGGAGAGUUGGGUUGGGAGGGGGAGAGAAAACGCGGGUUCAGGUGAGGAAAAGUCGGACCUUUCGAAAUUUCGGAUUUUGUUUGAUUCAAUUAAAAAAAAGGGAGUCUUUGAUUUUUGUG